CCUACGGGAGGCAGCAGUGAGGAAUAUUGGUCAAUGGACGCAAGUCUGAACCAGCCAUGCCGCGUGCAGGAAGACGGCUCUAUGAGUUGUAAACUGCUUUUGUACGAGGGUAAACGCAGAUACGCGUAUCUGUCUGAAAGUAUCGUACGAAUAAGGAUCGGCUAACUCCGUGCCAGCAGCCGCGGGAAUACGGAGGAUUCAAGCGUUAUCCGGAUUUAUUGGGUUUAAAGGGUGAGUAGGCGGUCGGAUAAGUUAGAGGUGAAAUCCCGAGGCUCAACUUCGGAAUUGCCUCUGAUACUGUUCGGCUAGAGAGUAGUUGCGGUAGGCGGAAUGUAUGGUGUAGCGGUGAAAUGCUUAGAGAUCAUACAGAACACCGAUUGCGAAGGCAGCUUACUAAGCUACUUCUGACGUUGAGGCACGAAAGCGUGGGGAGCAAACAGGAUUAGAUACCCUUGUAGUC
rnacentral:rRNA from 1 species